UGUAUAAUGGGUCAGCGACUUAUAUUCUGUAGCAAGGUUAACCGAAUAGGGGAGCCGAAGGGAAACCGAGUCUUAACUGGGCGUUAAGUUGCAGGGUAUAGACCCGAAACCCGGUGAUCUAGCCAUGGGCAGGUUGAAGGUUGGGUAACACUAACUGGAGGACCGAACCGACUAAUGUUGAAAAAUUAGCGGAUGACUUGUGGCUGGGGGUGAAAGGCCAAUCAAACCGGGAGAUAGCUGGUUCUCCCCGAAAGCUAUUUAGGUAGCGCCUCGUGAAUUCAUCUCCGGGGGUAGAGCACUGUUUCGGCAAGGGGGUCAUCCCGACUUACCAACCCGAUGCAAACUGCGAAUACCGGAGAAUGUUAUCACGGGAGACACACGGCGGGUGCUAACGUCCGUCGUGAAGAGGGAAACAACCCAGACCGCCAGCUAAGGUCCCAAAGUCAUGGUUAAGUGGGAAACGAUGUGGGAAGGCCCAGACAGCCAGGAUGUUGGCUUAGAAGCAGCCAUCAUUUAAAGAAAGCGUAAUAGCUCACUGGUCGAGUCGGCCUGCGCGGAAGAUGUAACGGGGCUAAACCAUGCACCGAAGCUGCGGCAGCGACGCUGAUGCGUUGUUGGGUAGGGGAGCGUUCUGUAAGCCUGCGAAGGUGUGCUGUGAGGCAUGCUGGAGGUAUCAGAAGUGCGAAUGCUGACAUAAGUAACGAUAAAGCGGGUGAAAAGCCCGCUCGCCGGAAGACCAAGGGUUCCUGUCCAACGUUAAUCGGGGCAGGGUGAGUCGACCCCUAAGGCGAGGCCGAAAGGCGUAGUCGAUGGGAAACAGGUUAAUAUUCCUGUACUUGGUGUUACUGCGAAGGGGGGACGGAGAAGGCUAUGUUGGCCGGGCGACGGUUGUCCCGGUUUAAGCGUGUAGGCUGGUUUUCCAGGCAAAUCCGGAAAAUCAAGGCUGAGGCGUGAUGACGAGGCACUACGGUGCUGAAGCAACAAAUGCCCUGCUUCCAGGAAAAGCCUCUAAGCAUCAGGUAACAUCAAAUCGUACCCCAAACCGACACAGGUGGUCAGGUAGAGAAUACCAAGGCGCUUGAGAGAACUCGGGUGAAGGAACUAGGCAAAAUGGUGCCGUAACUUCGGGAGAAGGCACGCUGAUAUGUAGGUGAAGUCCCUCGCGGAUGGAGCUGAAAUCAGUCGAAGAUACCAGCUGGCUGCAACUGUUUAUUAAAAACACAGCACUGUGCAAACACGAAAGUGGACGUAUACGGUGUGACGCCUGCCCGGUGCCGGAAGGUUAAUUGAUGGGGUUAGCCGCAAGGCGAAGCUCUUGAUCGAAGCCCCGGUAAACGGCGGCCGUAACUAUAACGGUCCUAAGGUAGCGAAAUUCCUUGUCGGGU
rnacentral:rRNA from 1 species